AUUGAACGCUGGCGGCAGGCCUAACACAUGCAAGUCGAGCGGAUGAAGGGAGCUUGCUCCUGGAUUCAGCGGCGGACGGGUGAGUAAUGCCUAGGAAUCUGCCUGGUAGUGGGGGAUAACGUCCGGAAACGGGCGCUAAUACCGCAUACGUCCUGCGGGAGAAAGUGGGGGAUCUUCGGACCUCACGCUAUCAGAUGAGCCUAGGUCGGAUUAGCUAGUUGGUGGGGUAAAGGCCUACCAAGGCGACGAUCCGUAACUGGUCUGAGAGGAUGAUCAGCCACACUGGAACUUGGACACGGUCCAGACUCCUACGGGAGGCAGCAGUGGGGAAUAUUGGACAAUGGGCGAAAGCCUGAUCCAGCCAUGCCGCGUGUGUGAAGAAGGUCUUCGGAUUGUAAAGCACUUUAAGUUGGGAGGAAGGGCAGUAAGUUAAUACCUUGCUGUUUUGACGUUACCAACAGAAUAAGCACCGGCUAACUUCGUG
rnacentral:rRNA from 1 species